ACGGGGUGCAGCAGGCGCGAAAACUCUACAAUGCAGGCAACUGCGAUAGGGGAACAUCGAGUGAUACUCAUCUUGGGUGUCUGCCCCACCGUCUAAAAAACGGUGGUUAGCAAGGGCCGGGCAAGACCGGUGCCAGCCGCCGCGGUAAUACCGGCGGCUCGAGUGGUGGCCGAUAUUAUUGAGUCUAAAGGGUCCGUAGCCGGCUUUGCAAGUCUUUUGGGAAAUCCAGCGGCUUAACCGUUGGUCGUCCGGGAGAUACUACAUUGCUUGGGACUGGGAGAGGUAGGAGGUACUCAGGGGGUAGGAGUGAAAUCCUGUAAUCCUUUGGGGACCACCGGUGGCGAAGGCGUCCUACCAGAACAGGUCCGACGGUGAGGGACGAAAGCUAGGGGCACGAACCGGAUUAGAUACCCGGGUAGUCCUAGCCGUAAACGAUGCUCGCUAGGUGUCACAACAAUCGUGAAUUGUUGUGGUGCCGUAGGAAGCCGUGAAGCGAGCCACUUGGGAAGUACGACCGCAAGGUUGAAACUUAAAGGAAUUGGCGGGGGAGCAC
rnacentral:rRNA from 1 species